GGGAAACAGGCUGAUACAAGGCUUUCUCAGGGGCCCCAACGAAUGGAAAAAGGGAACAUUAGUUCUGUGUCCUUGAUCAGGUGCAGUCUGGGGCUUGGGCCAGGGCCUCAGAGGAGUCAGAGUUGCAGUUUCUGGGAUCUGGGCUGUGGCUAUCAGUCCUCCUUCCGGGUGCUGUGUGUGAAGCAUUCCGUGUUCUCUUUGCCAUCAUUGUAUCGUUUAGCUUUCUGCUGACCUUGACUAUCCGUCUCCCCUGCCAACAGUAAGUACUAAGCUGUGUGGCUUAAGAAACUGGCUUGAGCAAGACCUCCUGAUCCCAAACGUUCCUGUCUUCUUCAUCUUCUGCUGCUUCUCUCUAGGGCCCUGUCACAAAGAAUGACCCAUUGGCCCAACCCAAUUGGCACCUGAACAGAGACCAGAGUAAGGAGAAAAGGGUUACUUUGACACCCUGUUGCAUGGUAAGACUUUUCCUGGGGAGAUACAACACACAUGCCUAUUCACUCCAGAUAGGGACCCCACAACAGCCAAAGGAAAGACCACCAAACACCAACUUAGUGAAGCAAUAGAUUUUAUUGAGGUCACUUACAGGAAUACAGGUGAGGGGUUGUUCCCAGGAGCAGAAAUGACUCAAAGACAGCUGCAUGACUAAGGGCCACCACCAAGGGUCUGAGUGACAGCUCACAAACCUGGGAACUUCGGUCACAAGGAACAGCCUCCAGGCAGCUCAUGAGUUUGCAGAAUGUCACUUCCAACUGACUCACUUGGUCUACAUCUCUGUCAGGAAGUUCAGCUGCUUUCUGCUUCUACAGGCAGUUGGCCUGGUCUCCGAGGCUUCUGUGCAGCCUGGCUAUCUGAGAGCAACUCUGAGCAGCCUUUAUUGUUUACUCUGGCAAGGAGAGGGCCUAGUGAGUCUGGCCAGUCUCAGGGACUUCCUAUGAUCUAAUUAAUGCCAAUGAGCAACAGUUUUCUCAGAGACUCUACCAUAGAACCCUGAAGAAUUUUCAUAAGUUCUUCAGAGGCUGGAAGAGCUCUCUCACAACUUUGUGUCUCACCUCUUACAGGCAGUGAGUCACUUUACUGUUGAUGGAGACACAGAAUCUUUCUUUACUUUACUCCAUGCUUUGAGGCUAUUCCCUUAACCUCUGGAUAUUAUGGUGAUUGUUUGUGGGACAGGUUCUCCAAAUACUUCCUGGUGCUUUUAUAAAAGGGACUGGGGCUAAAAACCUACUUCAUUUGUUUCAACAGGUUCGGCAACAGUUCCCAAAUUAGGAGGCACCAUAUUUUCUCCAAUACAUUCGAGUAUAUUCUGGUCUCCUUGGUCUUUUGGCAGAGGUA
rnacentral:lncRNA from 1 species